ACACACACACACACACACACACUUUGCAUUAGCAGUCCAUGCUUCAGUGCUCUGUGAGUGUUUAUAGUCCUGUGACUUGAACACUUCAUGACUGAGAGCUGCUGAUCAGCAACUUCACCCACAGCAACCAUGACUUUGAUCAGCGUCUUCAUCUGCACACUGGCCCUCUGGACUCAAGGAUCCAGAGGUCAGGUGACUGUGACUCAGACUCCUUCAGUGCAAACUGUUGUUCCAGGAAACACAGUCACCAUCAACUGUAAAACCAGUAGCAGUGUGGAUAGUGGUAACCGCCUCGCCUGGUACCUGCAGAAACCUGGAGAAGCUCCUAAACUCCUGAUCUAUGAUGCUACAAGCUUAUACACAGGAACUCCAGCUCGUUUCAAAGGCAGUGGAUCGAAUACUGACUUCACUCUGACCAUCAGUGGAGUCCAGACUGAAGAUGCAGGAGAUUACUACUGUCAGAGUUUACAUUAUAUCAGUAGUAACUAUAUGUUAACACAGUGUUAG